UGGAGCCUGGCCGACGACGACACCGUUCGGGCGCUCGGCAAGUGCCUGACGGCGACCGGUUCCGCUGCCGGCGGCUCCGCC
rnacentral:tRNA from 1 species